GUGGGCAACCUGCCUUAUACAGGGGGAUAACAGUCAGAAAUGGCUGCUAAUACCGCAUAAGCGCACAGAGCUGCAUGGCUCAGUGUGAAAAACUCCGGUGGUAUAAGAUGGACCCGCGUCUGAUUAGCUGGUUGGUGAGGUAACGGCUCACCAAGGCGACGAUCAGUAGCCGGCUUGAGAGAGUGAACGGCCACAUUGGGACUGAGACACGGCCCAAACUCCUACGGGAGGCAGCAUG
rnacentral:rRNA from 1 species